rnacentral:rRNA from 1 species
AGUGAACGCUGGCGGUAGGCCUAACACAUGCAAGUCGAACGGCAGCACAGUAAGAGCUUGCUCUUACGGGUGGCGAGUGGCGGACGGGUGAGGAAUACAUCGGAAUCUACUUUUUCGUGGGGGAUAACGUAGGGAAACUUACGCUAAUACCGCAUACGACCUACGGGUGAAAGCAGGGGAUCUUCGGACCUUUCGCGAUUGAAUGAGCCGAUGUCGGAUUAGCUAGUUGGCGGGGUAAAGUCCCACCAAGGCGACGAUCCGUAGCUGGUCUGAGAGGAUGAUCAGCCACACUGGAACUGAGACACGGUCCAGACUCCUACGGGAGGCAGCAGUGGGGAAUAUUGGGCAAUGGGCGAAAGCCUGAUCCAGCCAUGCCGCGUGGGUGAAGAAGGCCUUCGGGUUGUAAAGCCCUUUUGUUGGGAAAGAAAAGCAGCAGGUUAAUACCCCGCUGUUCUGACGGUACCCAAAGAAUAAGCACCGGCUAACUUCGUG